rnacentral:lncRNA from 1 species
AGAGGGGGGUCACUUCUUUUGUCCCCCGUGCAGGUCCUGUUCGAUUCAAGAUAAUGAAGAGGGACAUUUCAAAGGUAACGUCCAUAAUGUGGUUAUUAUGGUUCCCUUGCCCUCGAGUAUCAUUAAGGGGGAGUAGAGUUGCCUGACGACUCAAACUGAAUUCUUCCACUGUUCUAUGUUCGCUACAUUAGUCUGAGACUGGCGUCGUUGAAGUUGUUCGUUGUGACGUCAAAAUGAGGGGUGAUGUACAAAACAAAGUCAUCAGAGAUUGGAUCAUCUCUAACCAAUCAGAGUAUCAAAGCCAAUGACACAUUUUGGAAACGCCACUUUAACCACGUGUGUUCUGGCUUUGGUCCCUCCCAGAGGUUUCUGGGACCAAUCAGAACAGUUAGAUUGUGUUUGCGUUCUAGAAAUCAUCUGGGAAGUACUCAGAUCCAGACUCAUUGCGGAGAAGAAACUAACGUUCGUGUACAUUGUGUAACAUUUAGCUGGAACAAGGAAUAGCUGGCUUUGGUUGGAGUGUGGUGUUGAUGUGUGUGGGGUGAGGGCAGAAAGAGAGGAGAGAGAUUGUGGCAAAGGUGACGAGAGAAAAAGAAAGGAGAGGGACAAGGACUGAGAGAAGUAAGGAGAGAGAGGGAUGGGGAUCUGAGAGCGGUAGGGGGAGAGCGAUAUAGGGGGAGAGAGAUGUAGGGGGAUCUGAGAGAGGUAGAGGGAGAGAUGUAGGGGGAGAGAGAUGUAGGGGGAUCUGAGAGAGGUAGAAGGAGAGAUGUAGGGGGAGAGAGAUGUAGGGGGAUCUGAGAGAGGUAGAGGGAGAGAUGUAGGGGGAGAGAGAUGUAGGAGGAGAGAGAGGUAUGGGGAGAGAGGUAGGAGGGGAGAGAGGUAGGGGGAGAGAGGUAGGAGGAGAGAGAGGUAUGGGGAGAGAGGUGGGGGAGAGAGGUAGGGGGGAGAGAGGUGGGGGAGAGAGGUAGAG